UACGUAGGGUCCGAGCGUUAAUCGGAAUUACUGGGCGUAAAGCGUGCGCAGGCGGUUUUUUAAGCCCGAUGUGAAAGCCCCGGGCUUAACCUGGGAAUGGCAUUUGGGACUGCAAGGCUGGAGUACGGCAGAGGAGACUGGAAUUCCUGGUGUAGCAGUGAAAUGCGUAGAUAUCAGGAGGAAUACCGAUGGCGAAGGCAGGUCUCUGGGCUAACACUGACGCUCAUGCACGAAAGCGUGGGGAGCAAACAGG
rnacentral:rRNA from 1 species